CAGCAGCCGCGGUGACACGUAGGCACCAAGCGUUGUCCGGAUUUAUUGGGCGUAAAGAGCUCGUAGGCGGUUCGGUAAGUCGGGUGUGAAAACUUUGGGCUUAACCCAAAGCCUGCAUCCGAUACUGCUGUGACUAGAGUUCGGUAGGGGAGCGGGGAAUUCCUAGUGUAGCGGUGAAAUGCGCAGAUAUUAGGAGGAACACCGGUGGCGAAGGCGCCGCUCUGGGCCGAUACUGACGCUGAGGAGCGAAAGCGUGGGUAGCAAACAGGAUUAGAUACCCUGGUAGUCCACGCCGUAAACGUUGGGCACUAGGUGUGGGUCUCAACCAACGAGAUCCGCGCCGUCGCUAACGCAUUAAGUGCCCCGCCUGGGGAGUACGGCCGCAAGGUUAAAACUCAAAGGAAUUGACGGGGGCCCGCACAAGCAGCGGAGCGUGUUGCUUAAUUCGAUGCAACGCGAAGAACCUUACCUGGGCUUGACAUGUACGGAAAAGCCGUAGAGAUACGGUGUCCUUCGGGGCCGUACACAGGAGGUGCAUGGCC
rnacentral:rRNA from 1 species